rnacentral:rRNA from 1 species
AAUCCCCCAUAGGCCUGAGGUACUGGAAGGUCCUCAGGCCGAAAGGGGCUCUGCCCGCCCGAGGAUGGGCCGGCGGCCGAUUAGGUAGUUGGUGGGGUAACGGCCCACCAAGCCGAAGAUCGGUACGGGCCAUGAGAGUGGGAGCCCGGAGAUGGACACUGAGACACGGGUCCAGGCCCUACGGGGCGCAGCAGGCGCGAAACCUCCGCAAUGCGGGCAACCGCGACGGGGGGACCCCCAGUGCCGUGGCAACGCCACGGCUUUUCCGGAGUGUAAAAAGCUCCGGGAAUAAGGGCUGGGCAAGGCCGGUGGCAGCCGCCGCGGUAAUACCGGCGGCCCGAGUGGUGGCCGCUAUUAUUGGGCCUAAAGCAUCCGUAGCCGGGCCCGUAAGUCCCUGGCGAAAUCCCACGGCUCAACCGUGGGGCUUGCUGGGGAUACUGCGGGCCUUGGGACCGGGAGAGGCCGGGGGUACCCCUGGGGUAGGGGUGAAAUCCUAUAAUCCCAGGGGGACCGCCAGUGGGGAAGGCGCCCGGCUGGAACGGGUCUGACGGUGAGGGACGAAGGCCAGGGGAGCGAACCGGAUUAGAUACCCGGGUAGUCCUGGCUGUAAAGGAUGCGGGCUAGGUGUCGGGCGAGCUUCGAGCUCGCCCGGUGCCGAAGGGAAGCCGUU